GACGAACGCUGGCUGCGUGCUUAACACAUGCAAGUCGAACGCUGAAGCCCCAGCUUGCUGGGGUGGAUGAGUGGCGAACGGGUGAGUAACACGUGAGUAACCUGCCCCUGACUUCGGGAUAAGCCCUGGAAACUGGGUCUAAUACCGGAUACGACUAUCGGACGCAUGUCUGGUGGUGGAAAGUUUUUUCGGUUGGGGAUGGGCUCGCGGCCUAUCAGUUUGUUGGUGAGGUAAUGGCUCACCAAGACGACGACGGCUAGCCGGCCUGAGAGGGCGACCGGCCACACUGGGACUGAGACGCGGCCAAGACUCGUACGGGAGGCAGCAGUGGGGAAUAUUGCACAAUGGGGGAAACCCUGAUGCAGCGACGCAGCGUGCGGGAUGACGGCCUUCGGGUUGUAAACCGCUUUCAGCAGGGAAGAAGCCUUAGGGUGACGGUACCUGCAGAAGAAGUACCGGCUAACUACGUG
rnacentral:rRNA from 1 species